rnacentral:rRNA from 1 species
AACGAACGCUGGCGGCAUGCCUAACACAUGCAAGUCGAACGAGACCUUCGGGUCUAGUGGCGCACGGGUGCGUAACGCGUGGGAACCUGCCCUUAGGUUCGGAAUAACUCCCCGAAAGGGGUGCUAAUACCGGAUAAUGUCUUCGGACCAAAGAUUUAUCGCCUUUGGAUGGGCCCGCGUUGGAUUAGCUAGUUGGUAGGGUAAAAGCCUACCAAGGCGACGAUCCAUAGCUGGUCUGAGAGGAUGAUCAGCCACACUGGGACUGAGACACGGCCCAGACUCCUACGGGAGGCAGCAGUGGGGAAUAUUGGAACAUGGGCGAAAGCAUGAUCCAGCAAUGCCGCGUGAGUGAUGAAGGCCUUAGGGUUGUAAAGCUCUUUUACCCGGGAUGAUAAUGACAGUACCGGGAGAAUAAGCUCCGGCUAACUCCGUG